rnacentral:rRNA from 1 species
GCUUUAGACAUGCAAGUCGAACGAGAAAGCACUUCGGUGUGAGUACAGUGGCGGACGGGUGAGUAACGCGUAGGAAUCUACCUAGUAGUGGGGGACAACUCGGGGAAACUCGAGCUAAUACCGCAUACGCUCUUAGGAGGAAAGUGGGGGAUCUUCGGACCUCACGCUAUUAGAGGAGCCUGCGUUAGAUUAGCUAGUUGGUGGGGUAAAGGCUCACCAAGGCGACGAUCUAUAGCUGGUCUGAGAGGACGAUCAGCCACACUGGAACUGAGACACGGUCCAGACUUCUACGGAAGGCAGCAGUCAGGAAUAUUGGGCAAUGGGCGAAAGCCUGACCCAGCGAUGCCGCGUGUGUGAAGAAGGCCCUAGGGUUGUAAAGCACUUUCAGUCGUGAAGAAAAGCGUUGGGUUAAUACCCCAGCGUACUGACGUUAACGACAGAAGAAGUACCGGCUAACUCCGUGCCAGCAGCCGCGGUAAUACGGAGGGUACGAACGUUAAUCGGAAUUACUGGGCGUAAAGCGCGCGUAGGCGGUUUGAUAAGUGGGAUGUGAAAGCCCCGGGCUCAACCUGGGAACUGCAUUCCAAACUGUCAGACUAGAGUGUGGUAGAGGGAGGUAGAAUUUCCUGUGUAGCGGUGAAAUGCGUAGAUAUAGGAAGGAAUACCGAUGGCGAAGGCAGCCUCCUGGACCAACACUGACGCUGAGGUGCGAAAGCGUGGGGAGCAAACAGGAUUAGAUACCCUGGUAGUCCACGCCGUAAACGAUGAGAACUAGCCGUUGGGGCCUUUAAGGCUUUGGUGGCGCAGCUAACGCGAUAAGUUCUCCG